rnacentral:lncRNA from 1 species
AUUUUUAGUAAUGCGGUUUACACAUGAAAGAUACACUACUGAAAGGCAUUUUCUGAAAAAUGAAACAACAGAAUGCAGCAUUUUAUUGAUCAAUUUAUGCGCUCAAAAUAAGAUAUCCAUGUCACCCUUCAAAAAGGGCUUUACAUGCCAGGCAACAUUAUCCACAGGCAACGAUUGGCCUAUCCAUAGACAUCCACAUUAUUAAAAUUCCCCACUUACAGCCUCCCAAUGAUCCCAUGUAAUGUCAAGUGAAGUGUUUCUCAAAUAAGGAAUAAGAUGUGGAAAAAAUGAACCUGGUGGAGUUCCAAAUGUGACAUCAAUUCCCCGGUUUGAUUUUCAAGACUCCAGCUCCAAGAUGUGAGCAUGAAGUAGACUUUAUCCACC